AAAGCCAUGAGAUUCUUACUUUGCGUUGCAGUCAUUUUUAUGAUUGCCUUUAUUUCUGCGAGCAAUGCUAACCCAGAACCUAAUCCUUCGCCAGAGGCGGAUCCGGAAGCAAUUAACCUAAAGAAAAUCUUGGGAAAACUUGGAGUAGUGUUGUCUCACUUGGCAUAACCGACCUCAACGAUACGUGUACGACGGGGUGCAGGCACGACCAACGGCUUUUAAAUCUGACGAGUUUAUAUGCAUAUAUGUAUACGUAACUAAUUCGAAACAUGUAGAAAUUGGCCAUAUAAAUUUUUUGUCGUUUGACUAGA